CAAAUUGAGAGUUUGAUCCUGGCUCAGGAUGAACGCUGGCGGCGUGCCUAAUACAUGCAAGUCGAACGCUUUGUGGUUCAACUGACUUGAAGAGCUUGCUCAGAUAUGACGAUGGACAUUGCAAAGAGUGGCGAACGGGUGAGUAACACGUGGGAAACCUACCUCUUAGCAGGGGAUAACAUUUGGAAACAGAUGCUAAUACCGUAUAACAAUGACAACCGCAUGGUUGUUAUUUAAAAGAUGGUUCUGCUAUCACUAAGAGAUGGUCCCGCGGUGCAUUAGCUAGUUGGUAAGGUAAUGGCUUACCAAGGCGAUGAUGCAUAGCCGAGUUGAGAGACUGAUCGGCCACAAUGGGACUGAGACACGGCCCAUACUCCUACGGGAGGCAGCAGUAGGGAAUCUUCCACAAUGGGCGAAAGCCUGAUGGAGCAACGCCGCGUGUGUGAUGAAGGGUUUCGGCUCGUAAAACACUGUUGUAAGAGAAGAAUGACAUUGAGAGUAACUGUUCAAUGUGUGACGGUAUCUUACCAGAAAGGAACGGCUAAAUACGUGCCAGCAGCCGCGGUAAUACGUAUGUUCCAAGCGUUAUCCGGAUUUAUUGGGCGUAAAGCGAGCGCAGACGGUUAUUUAAGUCUGAAGUGAAAGCCCUCAGCUCAACUGAGGAAUUGCUUUGGAAACUGGAUGACUUGAGUGCAGUAGAGGAAAGUGGAACUCCAUGUGUAGCGGUGAAAUGCGUAGAUAUAUGGAAGAACACCAGUGGCGAAGGCGGCUUUCUGGACUGUAACUGACGUUGAGGCUCGAAAGUGUGGGUAGCAAACAGGAUUAGAUACCCUGGUAGUCCACACCGUAAACGAUGAGUGCUAGGUGUUUGAGGGUUUCCGCCCUUAAGUGCCGCAGCUAACGCAUUAAGCACUCCGCCUGGGGAGUACGACCGCAAGGUUGAAACUCAAAGGAAUUGACGGGGACCCGCACAAGCGGUGGAGCAUGUGGUUUAAUUCGAAGCAACGCGAAGAACCUUACCAGGUCUUGACAUCCCUUGACAACUCCAGAGAUGGAGCGUUCCCUUCGGGGACAAGGUGACAGGUGGUGCAUGGUUGUCGUCAGCUCGUGUCGUGAGAUGUUGGGUUAAGUCCCGCAACGAGCGCAACCCUUAUUACUAGUUGCCAGCAUUCAGUUGGGCACUCUAGUGAGACUGCCGGUGACAAACCGGAGGAAGGUGGGGAUGACGUCAAAUCAUCAUGCCCCUUAUGACCUGGGCUACACACGUGCUACAAUGGCGUAUACAACGAGUUGCCAACCCGCGAGGGUGAGCUAAUCUCUUAAAGUACGUCUCAGUUCGGAUUGUAGGCUGCAACUCGCCUACAUGAAGUCGGAAUCGCUAGUAAUCGCGGAUCAGCACGCCGCGGUGAAUACGUUCCCGGGUCUUGUACACACCGCCCGUCACACCAUGAGAGUUUGUAACACCCAAAGCCGGUGGGGUAACCUUCGGGAGCCAGCCGUCUAAGGUGGGACAGAUGAUUAGGGUGAAGUCGUAACAAGGUAGCCGUAGGAGAACCUGCGGCUGGAUCACCUCCUUU
rnacentral:rRNA from 1 species